GACGAACGCUGGCGGCGUGCCUAAUACAUGCAAGUAGAACGCUGAAGAGAGGAGCUUACUCUUCUUGGAUGAGUUGCGAACGGGUGAGUAACGCGUAGGUAACCUGCCUUGUAGCGGGGGAUAACUAUUGGAAACGAUAGCUAAUACCGCAUAACAAUGGAUGACACAUGUCAUUUAUUUGAAAGGGGCAAUUGCUCCACUACAAGAUGGACCUGCGUUGUAUUAGCUAGUAGGUGAGGUAAUGGCUCACCUAGGCGACGAUACAUAGCCGACCUGAGAGGGUGAUCGGCCACACUGGGACUGUGACACGGCCCAGACUCCUUCGGGAGGCAGCAGUAGGGAAUCUUCGGCAAUGGGGGCAACCCUGACCGAGCAACGCCGCGUGAGUGAAGAAGGUUUUCGGAUCGUAAAGCUCUGUUGUAAGUCAAGAACGGGUGUGAGAGUGGAAAGUUCACACUGUGACGGUAGCUUACCAGAAAGGGACGGCUAACUACGUG
rnacentral:rRNA from 1 species